rnacentral:rRNA from 1 species
AGUGAACGCUGGCGGUAGACUUAACACAUGCAAGUCGAACGGCAGCACAGUAAGAGCUUGCUCUUACGGGUGGCGAGUGGCGGACGGGUGAGGAAUACAUCGGAAUCUACUUUUUCGUGGGGGAUAACGUAGGGAAACUUACGCUAAUAUCGCAUACGACCUACGGGUGAAAGCAGUGGAUCUUCGGACCUUGCGCGAUUGAAUGAGCCGAUGUCGGAUUAGCUAGUUGGCGGGGUAAAGGCCCACCAAGGCGACGAUCCGUAGCUGGUCUGAGAGGAUGGUCGCCCACACUGGAACUGAGACACGGUCCAGGCUCCUACGGGACGCAGCAGUGGGGAAUAUUAGGCAAUGGGCGCGAGCCUGGUCCAGCCAUACCACGUGUGUGAAGAAGGCCUUCGGGUUGGGAAGCCCUUUUGUUGGGAAAAAAAAGCAGCAGGUUAAUACCCCGCUGUUCUGACGGUACCCAAUGAAUAAGCACCGGCUAACUUCGUG